AGCCUUGCGCCAUGGCAGUAUCACAGCCAAUGAGGUUUAUCAGAGGCACGAUCAUUGCUAGUUGAAAAAAUCCUUUAGUGUGGAAUGCAAAGUUUUAUUUGUAUGUAUCCAUA
rnacentral:snRNA from 1 species